GGGUGGAUUAGUGGCGAACGGGUGAGUAACACGUGAGCAACGUGCCCAUAACUCUGGGAUAACCUCCGGAAACGGUGGCUAAUACUGGAUAUCUAACGCGAUCGCAUGGUCUGUGUUUGGAAAGAUUUUUUGGUUAUGGAUCGGCUCACGGCCUAUCAGCUUGUUGGUGAGGUAAUGGCUCACCAAGGCGACGACGGGUAGCCGGCCUGAGAGGGUGACCGGCCACACUGGGACUGAGACACGGCCCAGACUCCUACGGGAGGCAGCAGUGGGGAAUAUUGCACAAUGGGCGAAAGCCUGAUGCAGCAACGCCGCGUGAGGGAUGACGGCCUUCGGGUUGUAAACCUCUUUUAGUAGGGAAGAAGCGAAAGUGACGGUACCUGCAGAAAAAGCACCGGCUAACUACGUGCCAGCAGCCGCGGUAAUACGUAGGGUGCAAGCGUUGUCCGGAAUUAUUGGGCGUAAAGAGCUCGUAGGCGGUUUGUCGCGUCUGCUGUGAAAUCCCGAGGCUCAACCUCGGGUCUGCAGUGGGUACGGGCAGACUAGAGUGU
rnacentral:rRNA from 1 species